GAAUGUCCAACCUCAAGAUGAAUUUCUUCCCUCUCUCUACUUCACAGGCCAGGCUCAUAGCUGCCCCUGGUGGAGAAGAUGAGGCCAAAGGGAAGUUGCCGGAUACCUUGCUUCCACCCCUCUCUCCCACGCCCUCCUGCGUAGCUGAGCUCAUGGCAUCAGAAUCUCAGGACCCUUCAACACUUUCCAGCUGGGCAAGGGGGCAAGGCUGUGCAAUGGCUCAGAGAUAGCCCAGCAAAUGCUCUGUAAUGAGACUUGGAGUUUCAACCUCACUGUCUGGAGCAGAAGAGAAAUGGGAAAUAUGACAUAUGGAGGUGCCACUGAAACAAAACACCCCACAAUCUUGAGUCAACACAGUGGGGCUAGCACUCUGGAGUCCCCACUGGAACUGCA
rnacentral:lncRNA from 1 species